AUUGAACGCUGGCGGCAGGCCUAACACAUGCAAGUCGAACGCGUGGCGGACGCGUGAGUAAUGUCUGGGAAACUGUCCGCUGGAGGGGGAUAACUACUGGAAACGGUAGCUAAUACCGCGUACCCUCUGAUGUGCCCAGAUAGGAUUGGAUUGUAGGUGAGGUAAAGGCUCACCUAGGCGACGAUCCCUAGCUGGUCUGAGAGGAUGACAAGCCACACGGGAACGGAGACACGGUCCAGACUCCUACGGGAGGCAGCAGUGGGGAAUAUUGCACAAUGGGCGCAAGCCUGAUGCAGCCAGGACGCGUGUAUGAAGAAGGCCUUCGGGUUGUAAAGUACUUUCAGCGAGGAGGCGUUACUCGCAGAAGAAGCACCGGCUAACUCCGUGCCAGCAGCCGCGGUAAUAC
rnacentral:rRNA from 1 species